GCAGUACUUGCAAGACGAGCACACAAACAGACACGCGUGUGUUACUAUAUUCAGAAGAACUGUAUCUCCAGUUCCUUUGUUUGGUUUUUGCUGCUUCGUGAAUAAUGGCUGGACGACGUCUUGCGUUCAACUCCUCUCCGCGGUCACCAACUUUCAGCCAGUCCGCAGACAGACGAGAAGAAGCUGCUGAAAGCUCUCAGUGGAUCGUCUCGUCAACUCCAGCAACAAAUUGCCGAUAUCAACGAGCGGUUCGCGUUCGGGAAUCUCCAGGUUUCUGUCCAUGGAGGAGAGGAACCGACUCAAAGAAGAGGAGACGGGCGCACAAUCCCAAGAAAGCGGAAGCGGUGCGCCGUCUUCACAACUCCGAGACGAAUUACAGGCGCUACGAACCGGAGCAAGGACUAAUCUCGCCUCAUAAUGAGGCGGUGACCUCGUAUUUGCUCCAGGAAAAGUCCAGAUUUAGACGACGUCAUUGUGUGCACUUCCUGUGGGUGGAAUCACCAUUAGCCGCAUCGUCGCCCCCUGCAGUCUGGGUGUGCUCCGAC
ensembl:lncRNA